ACGGGCGUAGCUCAAUUGGUAGAGUAGUGGUCUCCAAAACCAUUGGUUGCAGGUUCGAGCCCUGCCGCCCGUGCUA
rnacentral:tRNA from 2 species